AACAGGCAGAUCUGGUGUUACAGUCUCCAUUACACACCUGCAGGUGUUGAUAACUCCCGAAGCAGUGAAAGAGGGAGAGAAUGUGACACUCACCUGUAAUACAACCUGUAUUCUGAGUAACAACCCCACCUUCAUCUGGUACAAGAACAGACAGCCUGUGACCUUGAAACACACAACCAGAGACAACAGGCUGCAUCUGAACCGAGUCAGCAGUGAGGAUGUGGGCAGUUACUCCUGUGCUGUUAGAAGACACAAGAGUCUCUUCUCAACUGAUGUGUUUCUUAAAGUCCGAUAUAAGCCAAAGAGUGUCUCAGUGUCUAUCAGUCCUGGGGA